GCUCCAUAUCUCAAAGGUUAGAGCAUUGGUCUUGUAAGCCAAGGUUUGUGAAUUCAGUUCUUAUUGGGGGCU
rnacentral:tRNA from 1 species